rnacentral:rRNA from 1 species
AUUGAACGCUGGCGGCAGGCCUAACACAUGCAAGUCGAACGGUAACAGGAAACAGCUUGCUGUUUCGCUGACGAGUGGCGGACGGGUGAGUAAUGUCUGGGAAACUGCCUGAUGGAGGGGGAUAACUACUGGAAACGGUAGCUAAUACCGCAUAACGUCGCAAGACCAAAGAGGGGGAACUUCGGGCAUCUUGCCAUCGGAUGUGCCCAGAUGGGAUUAGCUAGUAGGUGGGGUAACGGCUCACCUAGGCGACGAUCCCUAGCUGGUCUGAGAGGAUGACCAGCCACACUGGAACUGAGACACGGUCCAGACUCCUACGGGAGGCAGCAGUGGGGAAUAUUGCACAAUGGGCGCAAGCCUGAUGCAGCCAUGUCGCGUGUAUGAAGAAGGCCUUCGGGUUGUAAAGUACUUUCAGCGGGGAGGAAGGGAGUAAAGUUAAUACCUUUGCUCAUUGACGUUACCCGCAGAAGAAGCACCGGCUAACUCCGUGCCAGCCGCCGCCGUAA